UGGGGAAUAUUGGGCAAUGGGCGAAAGCCUGACCCAGCGACGCCGCGUGCGGGAAGACGGUCUUCGGAUUGUAAACCGCUGUUGACAGGGAAGAAACAUGACGGUACCUGUCGAGGAAGUCACGGCUAACUACGUGCCAGCAGCCGCGGUAAUACGUAGGUGGCGAGCGUUAUCCGGAUUUACUGGGUGUAAAGGGUGUGUAGGCGGGAUGGCAAGUCAGAUGUGAAAUCCGGGGGCUCAACCCCCGGUCUGCAUUUGAAACUGCUGUUCUUGAGUGUCGGAGAGGUAAACGGAAUUCCCAGUGUAGCGGUGAAAUGCGUAGAUAUUGGGAGGAACACCAGUGGCGAAGGCGGUUUACUGGACGAUAACUGACGCUGAGACACGAAAGCGUGGGGAGCAAACAGG
rnacentral:rRNA from 2 species